AAUAGAGGUAGAGGCGCUAGUUAUUAAGAGUAAUCUAUAGGAGUGGGCACACUAUGAUAAUAGAUGAAAGGAAUACUAGCCGAAGGAGAUAGAGGCAAAGCUAUUUUCUGGGUAUGCAAAUAAUAUUUGUAUAACUGUCACGUAAGUGGAGGGCUACACAGAUU
rfam:Clostridium paraputrificum strain 373-A1 CP373A1_26, whole genome shotgun sequence.